UCGGUCCCGAGUAGAGUGGCGCACGGGUGAGUAACGCGUAAGUGAUCUACCCCUGUAUCUGGGAUAACUAUGGGAAACUGUAGCUAAUACCGGAUACGUUCAUGUAAUUGCGAUUAUGUGAAGAAAGAUGGCCUCUGAUUCAAGCUAUUGUACAGGGAGGAGCUUGCGUACCAUUAGCUAGUUGGUAGGGUAAUGGCCUACCAAGGCAACGAUGGUUAGCGGGUCUGAGAGGAUGAUCCGCCACACUGGAACUGAAACACGGACCAGACUCCUACGGGAGGCAGCAGUGAGGAAUAUUGCGCAAUGGGGGCAACCCUGACGCAGCGACGCCGCGUGGAUGAUGAAGGCCUUCGGGUCGUAAAAUCCUGUCAGAUGGGAAGAAGUGUGUGGUGGUUAAUACCCUCCGCAUUUGACGGUACCAUCAGAGGAAGCACCGGCUAACUCCGUGCCAGCAGCCGCGGUAAUACGGAGGGUGCAAGCGUUGUUCGGAUUUACUGGGCGUAAAGCGCGCGUAGGCGGUUUGUUAAGUCAGAUGUGAAAGCCCAAGGCUCAACCUUGGACGUGCAUUUGAAACUGGCAGACUUGAGUAUUGGAGGGGGUGGUGGAAUUCCCGGUGUAGAGGUGAAAUUCGUAGAUAUCGGGAGGAAUACCGGUGGCGAAGGCGACCACCUGGCCAAAUACUGACGC
rnacentral:rRNA from 1 species